rnacentral:rRNA from 1 species
AUUGAACGCUGGCGGCAUGCUUUACACAUGCAAGUCGAACGGCAGCGCGGGCUUCGGCCUGGCGGCGAGUGGCGAACGGGUGAGUAAUACAUCGGAACGUGCCCAGUAGUGGGGGAUAGCUCGGCGAAAGCCGGAAUAAUACCGCAUACGACCUGAGGGUGAAAGCGGGGGAUCUUCGGACCUCGCGCUAUUGGAGCGGCCGAUGGCAGAUUAGCUAGUUGGUGGGGUAAAGGCCUACCAAGGCGACGAUCUGUAGCUGGUCUGAGAGGACGACCAGCCACACUGGGACUGAGACACGGCCCAGACUCCUGCGGGAGGCCGCAGUGGGGAAUUUUGGACAAUGGGCGAAAGCCUGAUCCAGCAAUGCCGCGUGUGUGAUGAAGGCCUUCGGGUUGUUAAGCACUUUUGGCGGGAACGAAAAGGACUGUGCCAAUACCACGGUUCGAUGACGGUACCCGCAGAAUAAGCUCCGGCUAACUACGUG